rnacentral:tRNA from 1 species
UCCGGUGUAGCUCAGUCGGUAGAGCCACAGGCGCGCAGGUUCGAGCCCUGCCACCGGAA